AUUGAACGCUGGCGGCAUGCCUUACACAUGCAAGUCGAACGGCAGCACGGUUGCAUGCUCCUGUUGGGGAGUGCCGGACGGGGGCGUAUUAGAUCGGCACAUGUAUCGAAGUGGGGGAUAGCGCGGCGGAAGGCGGAUUAAUACUGCAUACGAUCUACGGCUGAAAGUGAGAGCCGUGGGUCUUCGGACCUUGCGCGAUGGAAGGUGGCGAUGUCGGAUUAGCUAGUUGGCGGGGUAAAGGCCCACCAAGGCGACGAUCUGUAGCUGGUCUGAGAGGAUGAUCAGCCACACUGGAACUGAGACACGGUCCAGACUCCUACGGGAGGCAGCAGUGGGGAAUUUUGGACAAUGGGCGAAAGCCUGAUCCAGCAAUGCCGCGUGGGUGAAGAAGGCCUUCGGGUUGUAAAGCACUUUUGUCCGGAAAGAAAACCUUGACGCUAAUACGGUCGUGGUAUGACGGUACCGGAAGAAUAAGCACCGGCUAACUACGUG
rnacentral:rRNA from 1 species